rnacentral:lncRNA from 1 species
UUCUUUCUCUUUUCUGUCUUUAACUGUAUAUUACAUGUACAUUUAUAUUUAUUUUUUAUAUAUACUUGCCGUGUCCCCGAUGGGCUGUUUUUGGAAAAAGCCAUAUCCCGUGUCCCCGUAUGCGUGUCGCUGUGUCCGUGUCGCCGUGUCGGUGCUUUUUAGGUUAAUACCAUCUAUGUUUAUAUGCACUAUAUCUGUGUGAUACUUCCAUAAAAAGUAUAUGGUGUUACACCACCAAGAAAGUAUCUGAGGGAAGUUGUUUCCCUUUGUGCAACAUUCUUUAUGUUUGUGGUUAUGUUUUCUAUCCCACUUUUUCAGUAAAAUAUUUAUGUUAUCAAAUCCAUUUUUGACAUGCAACUAUAAUCUGUGCUGGCAGGUUUCAUAGUCUAUUCUUGCUUGGCUGUAGCUCUUGCACUUGUUUUAAUGUUCUGGGUUGUUCACCACACCGAGCAAAGGAAAAUGCUCGCAUAUGUUGCAAUAUGUUCACUAUUCGGGUCUCUUACGGUAGGUUUGCAAUACAUCAUACCAGGACAUGAGUUGUUCAAAUUGAUUUAUAAUGCCCUGAUGACACCAACAUAGUCUAUAUUUACCUUGAAAUUUUCUAGCUUUGGUGACACAAACAUUGGAUCCAUUUUGGGGUAUAUUCCACUAGAAUUAAACUCUGG